CCUACGGGUGGCAGCAGUGAGGAAUAUUGGUCAAUGGGCGGAAUCCUGAACCAGCCAUGCCGCGUGCAGGACGACGGCUCUACGAGUUGUAAACUGCUUUUGUACCGGGGUAAAAUGCUCUACGAGUAGGGUUUUGACAGUACGGUACGAAUAAGGAUCGGCUAACUCCGUGCCAGCAGCCGCGGUAAUACGGAGGAUCCGAGCGUUAUCCGGAUUCAUUGGGUUUAAAGGGAGCGUAGGUUGUUUUAUAAGUUAGCGGUGAAAUACCGAUGCUAAACAUGGGGUCUGCCGUUCAUACUGUAUGACUAGAGAUCGGAUGCGGCAGGCGGAAUGUGUGGUGUAGCGGUGAAAUGCAUAGAUAGUACACAGAACACCGAUUGCGAAGGCAGCUUGCUAGGCCGGAUCUGACACUGAUGCACGAAAGCGUGGGGAUCGAACAGGAUUAGAUACCCGAGUAGUC
rnacentral:rRNA from 1 species